CUUUUUGAAGGUUUCUCUGAGAGUCCGUUUCCUCCUGCUAUUUCCUCACUUCUCGUUAAAUUCAAGACUGGGUGACGAAUGGAAGAUUUGAAGGUCGAACUCGAAUGCUGAAUCUAGGAUAAAAGACAAGAUUCUUGGCAGUGUGGAGGAACAGAGGGAUCUUGGUGUUCAAGUACAUAGAUCACUCAAAGCUGCCACCAAGUGGAUAGGAUUGUUAAGAAAGCAUAUGGCGUUUUGGCUUUCAUUAACAGGAGGAUCGAGUUUAAGAACUGCGAGGUUUUGCUACAGCUCUACAAGUCCCUGUUUACUCCUGAAGAAAGUAAUCCUACUUAUGAACAUCCUCCAUUGGCCAUAUAACAGAGAAAUUAACAGUGGGGUGUUGGGAGGAAACUUACCUGUUUCAUUAUACUGGUCUCAAUGGAGUUCAUCUUUAUUUUAUUCGUGGAUGACGGCGUUGCUGGCUACACCUACAUUUCGGCACAUUCCUAAUUGCCCAGAAAUUCUGCUUAUAAAACCAAUUCAGAUUUUUGUUCCUUGUAUUCCAGACAAAAUAUUUACUAUUUUAAGCAAAUAUUUCUGAUUUUGUUUACAAAACGCCAACUGCAAAUACGGUACAAAUCUUAUUUCCAGUACACAAACUCACCACAGUUCCUAUCAGGGUUGAGCCUUAGCUACAAUGUCAAAGUCUAUUGAAAUACUGGAAAAUAUUUAUUUAUAAAGAUCUAAAACAGAUUAUUCAU